ACACCAGGAAGUUCCUGGCAAUUCCAGCAGCAAUUCAGUGGUCAGUGGGGUGGGAACAAGGAGACUAUGAAAAGGAGAGUAAAGAGGAGGGGUCAAAAGCAAGCACCACCAGAAGGUGAGUCAUCAGUGCUUGCAUUUCUGUUUCUUCUGAAGUAUCUAUACUUCUGACCUUUGGAAUAUUGUAGGUUUACAAGGUGAUAAAAAUGGAAACACAAGACCCCGGCAACCUGGAGGGAAAGAUGCCCAUGCCUACCCCUGGGAUCGAUCCAGCCUGAAAUCCAUGUCCCUGGACCUGCAGCAGUUUGAGAAAUUGGAUAUCUACGCCUCACAGGUGACAGCCAAAAGUGGCCUAGAUGAACUGGUGAAUGACCUGCUCCAGGAGGCCCACACUGACCUGGAAAGGGUCCGCGCCAUCUGGAUCUGGAUCUGCCGUCACAUAGAGUAUGACAUUGCAGCUGCUCAGGAGAAGGACCGCCAAGCCUUCAAACCCACUGACAUCCUGAGGACCCAGAAGACCAACUGUGAUGGCUAUGCUGGCCUCUUUGAGAGAAUGUGCAGGUGGCUCUGAGCAGAGGACAAGCAUCAGUGGGCAGCAUGUGCAGAGGUCCGCAGCUCCACUAAAUCAGUUCACCUUAAUGCAAAACGAGCCAUUCUCCAAGCCCCAUUGUUCCCAGGACUCCCCUUAUCCCUCCACAUCAUCCGGGAAAGUGAUAUGCACAGACAUUCUAGGCAGCAGUGGAAAGUAAUUUCUUGAAGAAUAUAAUUUUAAGUAGUAUUUAUGGCUUUUUUUCCAAU
rnacentral:sRNA from 1 species